rnacentral:tRNA from 1 species
GACUGGGAUAGCUCAGUCAGUAGAGCAUGAGACUCUUAAUCUCAGGGUUGAGGGUUCAACAGGGGCAGAGCAACGGGGGUGCGAUGGGGGCGCCCCGCCCCGGGCA